GUGAGUUUAGAUUUAUGGCAGGCUCACCCCCCUGGGUCUCUCAUAGUGCCCCAUGCCAGAGCAAACUGGCCCUGAACCAUUGCCCUGUCUUUUAACUGUGGACUGCUGGCACUGAAGCAGGUUGCAUGGAG
rfam:Tupaia chinensis contig55571, whole genome shotgun sequence.